CUACGGGAGGCAGCAGUGGGGAAUAUUGGACAAUGGAGGCAACUCUGAUCCAGCCAUGCCGCGUGAGUGAUGAAGGCCUUAGGGUUGUAAAGCUCUUUCGCCGGUGAAGAUGAUGACUGUAGCCGGUAAAGAAGCCCCGGCUAACUUCGUGCCAGCAGCCGCGGUAAUACGAAGGGGGCUAGCGUUGUUCGGAAUUACUGGGCGUAAAGCGCGCGUAGGCGGCUUGAUCAGUCAGAGGUGAAAUCCCAGGGCUCAACCCUGGAACUGCCUUUGAUACUGUCAAGCUAGAGCUCGGAAGAGGGUGGCGGAAUAUCCAGUGUAGAGGUGAAAUUCGUAGAUAUUGGAUAGAAUACCAGUGGCGAAGGCGGCCACCUGGUCCGUAGCUGACGCUGAGGUGCGAAAGCGUGGGGAGCAAACAGGAUUAGAUACCCCGGUAGUC
rnacentral:rRNA from 1 species